rnacentral:rRNA from 1 species
CCUACGGGAGGCAGCAGUAGGGAAUUUUCCGCAAUGGGCGAAAGCCUGACGGAGCAAUACCGCGUGAGGGAUGACGGCCUGUGGGUUGUAAACCUCUUUUCUCAAGGAAGAAGUUCUGACGGUACUUGAGGAAUAAGCAUCGGCUAACUCUGUGCCAGCAGCCGCGGUAAUACAGAGGAUGCAAGCGUUAUCCGGAAUCACUGGGCAUAAAGCGUCUGUAGGUUGUUUAGUAAGUCUGCUGUUAAAGACUGGGGCUUAACCCCAGAAAAGCAGUGGAAACUGCUAGACUCGAGUGUGGUAGAGGUAGAGGGAAUUCCUAGUGUAGCGGUGAAAUGCGUAGAUAUUAGGAAGAACACCAAUGGCGAAGGCACUCUACUGGGCCAUAACUGACACUGAGAGACGACAGCUAGGGGAGCAAACGGGAUUAGAUACCCCGGUAGUCCUAGCCGUAAACGAUGGAUACUAGAUGUUGCACGUAUUAACCCGUGCAGUAUCGUAGCUAAGGCGUUAAGUAUCCCGCCUGGGAAAGUACGCGUCGCGAGAGAGAACGUUAAAGUAAGUAAGUUAGUUACGGCGUGAGACGUGCCGACGGACGACGACGAGGGAGGAGG